rnacentral:lncRNA from 12 species
UCUGCAUUCCCCAGGUCACAAGAAUAAGGACACACUUAAGCACAGACUGCUGCUUCUCUGUUGUAGGGCAACAGGAUUGCAGUGGGAAUGUGGAUUGCCAGGCCCUGUUCUCUGCCCUCACAGGUCCCAAGUGAGUUCUGCCCAGUACAUCCCUGCUGUGAUUCCAGCAAGUUCCAAAUUCAGCUGUGGCCAGGCAGCCACACCAGGCAAAGGACUGGGAAG